rnacentral:ncRNA from 1 species
ACGUCGCCCGUGCGGCGUUCAUGGCCUGGACGGGCCAGGAGGGCAGGGGUGGUGCCGUGUCGGCGCAGCACCACCCCUGCUGA